CCGGUGGUGUUGGUUUUCCCCUGCGGUAAAUCGACGUUACGAGCUGGGGCACAGGAAAUGAAUGAAUGCGACGGGGAGGGAGAGAGGGUGAUGCGAUCGGCCUGCUGCCAAAACAGUACGGAGAUGUGACAGGAGGGGAGCCAGGAAUAAGACUAUUGAUUGCUAGACGCCACGGAAGACUAUACACGGCCUGUCACCUCCUCCACUCCCUGUUGGACAGCAACCUUGGAGGGCGGGCUCAGCGCCACUGCUUCUACAGCUUUGGGAUGUGUUCCAGUGGGACUCUUUUACAUGACAACAUCGAAGAAAGCACCGUCGCGGCAAACUCAAUAUGCGUCGUCGCCGUGGAACUCGUGUACACCGAAGCCAGCUCGGUCGAUGAGGGGUGCAAGAGCUGCGUCCCGAACGCUGAAGACAAAGGGGAGGCUCACACGCGCUGUUCUUUCCACCGGGGGUAGGGGUCUACUCGUCAAUGAUGAACCGCCGAGGGGGGGAGGGGCUUCGCAUCCUGCAGUCAGUCGUGGGACUGAGAUGCGCAGUGAGAUACUUGUUGGACAAAGUAAAACGUACAUGCAAGAUUUCAAAAGGCCUGCAGCUCUAUUCAAGUUGAAGGUUACAAUUACAUGCGGACAUCCGGAGACGGAAAUCGACAAAGUUUCGCUGAAAGAAAGAUUGAAAAGGAGGCCACCGUACCAACAAUUACAGACCACGAAAGGCUCAAAUGGGUGGAGUUAAUCUUCAUAAAAUCCUAUAACUUGUACGGUUCCAAUUGAAGGGCUUCUCCACGAUGUCACCGGAAGGAUUGCCAGAGAGAGAAAGAAAGUUAAAUCAGACAUGCAUUUACUGCAAGAGAGGUAGAGCAAAGUUGGCUUUCUAGUAUGUCUUCAUUGUACAGCCAUAUCCUGUCACAUCUUGACCUUGUCUUCCGUUCACAAGAAUCCUAGAAGACCACACACUCAAACCAAUGACAUGACAUUUAAAUGCAUGUCAUCAUUGUCUUAUGAAUCGAUAACCAAGUUGGGUAUGCACAUACGAUUUUGUUUUGCAAGAUCACGAACGUAUGAUUGUGCCAAGGUUUUAA